UACAGAGGUGGCAAGCGUUGUUCGGAGUUACUGGGCGUAAAGGGCGCGUAGGCGGCUCGACAAGUCCCGCGUGAAAGCCCCCGGCUCAACUGGGGAACUGCGCGGGAAACUGUCGGACUUGAGUUCGGGAGAGGGAAGCGGAAUUCCGGGUGUAGCGGUGAAAUGCGUAGAUAUCCGGAGGAACACCGGUGGCGAAGGCGGCUUCCUGGACCGACACUGACGCUGAGGCGCGAAAGCUAGGGGAGCAAACGGG
rnacentral:rRNA from 1 species